rnacentral:tRNA from 1 species
CAUUAAGAAGCUAUAAGUCAGCGAUAACCUUUUAAGUUAUAGAUAGGUGAUUACACCCACCCUUAAUG